GAUGAACGCUGACAGAAUGCUUAACACAUGCAAGUCUUUGGCGAAGCUGUGCUUGCACAGCCUAGCCAAGGCGGACGGGUGAGUAACGCGUAAGGAACUUGCCCUGCAGUCAGGGAUAACAGACGGAAACGACUGAUAAGACCUGGUAAAGUCAGGCGGACUGAUGUCCAGCCUGAUGAAAAGAGAUGCUGCAGGAGAGCCUUGCGUCCUAUUAGCUUGUUGGUGGGGUAACGGCCCACCAAGGCGAUGAUAGGUAGCCGGCCUGAGAGGGUGGACGGCCACAAGGGGACUGAGAUACGGCCCUUACUCCUACGGGAGGCAGCAGUGGGGAAUAUUGGACAAUGGGGGCAACCCUGAUCCAGCAAUUCUGUGUGCACGAUGAAGGUUUUCGGAUUGUAAAGUGCUUUCAGCAGGGAAGAAAAAAAUGACGGUACCUGCAGAAGAAGCGACGGCUAAAUACGUG
rnacentral:rRNA from 1 species